AGCCUGGAAAAAAGCCCUUGGAUUUAUAGGAUCCCAUAGAUACGCGGAUAAUACUCCAACGCAAUGUUAUAACCGUAUUAGAAUUUGUAGUUUGCAUUUUAAUGAUGACAGUUUUACAAAUUCCUCGAAAACCCAAAUUUAUUCGUAUGCUAUCCCAUCGAUUGGAGUACCUACCCAAAAAGACGAUGCACAUUUUCCUAAAGCCAGUAUUGAUGCCAUUGUUUAGACAGAACCCUUCGAAGUAAAUGAGCCAAAGCAGCCGUUAGUAAAAGUUGCAGGAACCCAAACGUCUGUAGAACUUUCAGCAGAUACGCCAAGAGAAGUUUUAUUUAAGGAGACAGUAAAAACACUAGAAAAAACCAUUACUACCCACACUUGUAAAAGAAGCCUUGAAACAGAAAAAAUUUAGAACGUCAUCUAUGGUAAUGACGUUCUGAAUUUUUUCUGAAGAAACAUGCAAUCUGUUAAAAACUCAAACAUUAUUGCUGAAUAAGGACUCAAAAGGACGCAGCUAUACCAAUGGAUUUAAACAGUUUGCUCUAAGUGUGUUUUUUUUGGGUCCAAAAGCUUACAAACAAAUUUUACCCAAAGUUUAUCCUCUACCAUCAAAAUCUACAUUAAACCGUUUUACACAACAAUGGGUAAUUAAUCACAUUUUAACGAGUUUGUGUUUAAAGUAAUUGAAUGUAGAGUAAAAUUGUUGCAAGAAAAAGAAAGAUACUGUAUUUUAUGCAUGGACGAAAUAUGUUGAAAAUCUCACUUUUUUAUUAUAUUUCUAAAGACAAAAUUGUAGGGUUUGGUUCAGGGUUAUAUAAAGUUGCAGGAAGUGCAUUAACGAUAAUGGCAAAGGAAAUUGCUAACAAUUGGAAACAACUCAUUGCCUAUUUUUUUUAUAAUACAUCUGCACCUGUUAAUCAUUUAAAAUAUAUUUUAUUUGAAACUUUCCGAAGGAUACGCAAAACCGGUUUAAAUAUUUUUGGGGUUGUAUCAGAUCAGGGUACUAAUUUUUAAAAACAAGCUAAAAGUUCUUUAAAAGUGACAGUAGAUAAUCCCACAUUCUUUGUUGACGAUGAAAAUUUAAAACUAGUUUAUUUAUUUGAUGUUCCCCACUACUCAGGUCGACGAAAAACAAGUAAAAAAUAUUUAGAAAUGAUGUAUAAUAUUGACAAAAAGAAGCAGUUCAAAAUGGCCCAUAAAUUAACAAACGACCACAUUUAUCCUAAUAAAUUUCAAAAAAUGAAAGUAAAGUUAGCUUCGCAAGUAUUUAGCCGCUCUGUAGCGGUAGCUAUACAUACUUAUAUUGAAUUUAACGCCUUGUCAAAAGAAGCAACUAUAACAGCCAAUUUUAUAUUUAAAAUGAAUAAUCUAUUUGAUUUUUUAAACUCCAUUAACUUACAAGAUUUUCAAGCUUUCAUGGGAACUGAAAAACAAAAAACGUUAUUGCAAGAUAUAGAAAGAAUACCUUUUUAAAAACCUAAAAGUAAGAAUAUUUAUUUAAAUAAUAUUUAAAUAGAUAUCUAUUUAAAAAAUGUCUCUCACGUCACUCUUGUAAAAUAUGCAUUAAUUUUGCAACUGAGUCAAAUGCCCUGUUUA
rnacentral:lncRNA from 1 species